GUGGGGAAUAUUGCACAAUGGGCGAAAGCCUGAUGCAGCGACGCCGCGUGAGCGAUGAAGUAUUUCGGUACGUAAAGCUCUAUCAGCAGGGCAGAUAAUGACGGUACCUGACUAAGAAGCACCGGCUAAAUACGUGCCAGCAGCCGCGGUAAUACGUAUGGUGCAAGCGUUAUCCGGAUUUACUGGGUGUAAAGGGAGCGUAGGCGGCGUGGUAAGUCAGAAGUGAAAGCCCGGGGCUCGACCCCGUGACUGCUUUUGAAACUAUCAGGCUAGAGUGUCGGAGAGGUAAGUGGAAUUCCUAGUGUAGCGGUGAAAUGCGUAGAUAUUAGGAUGAACACCAGUGGCGAAGGCGGCUUACUGUACGAUAACUGACGCUGAGGCUCGAAAGCGUGGGGAGCAAACAGGAUUAGAAACCCCAGUAGUCC
rnacentral:rRNA from 1 species